UACGAAGGUCCCAAGCGUUGUUCGGAAUCACUGGGCGUAAAGGGCGCGUAGGCGGCGUGGUAAGUCAGAUGUGAAAUCCCGGGGCUCAACCCCGGAACUGCAUCCGAUACUGCCAUGCUUGAGGGUUGGAGAGGUAGCUGGAAUUCUCGGUGUAGCAGUGAAAUGCGUGGAUAUCGAGAGGAACACUCGUGGCGAAGGCGAGCUACUGGACAACAUCUGACGCUGAGGCUCGAAGGCUAGGGUAGCGAAAGGG
rnacentral:rRNA from 1 species